rnacentral:rRNA from 1 species
AGGAUGAACGCUGGCGGCGUGCCUAACACAUGCAAGUCGAACGUCCUGUCUCGCAAGAGGCAGGGAGUGGCGGACGGGUGAGUACCACGUGGGUCAUCUACCGUGAGGUGAGGAAUACCGGCGAGAAAUCGCCGACAAGACCGCAUAGGCUCGAUGCAAGUCGAGCAAAGCUCUUUCGAGAGAGGGAGCGCCACACGAGGAGCCUGCGCCCGAUUAGCUAGCUGGUGGAGUAACGGUUCACCAGGGCGACGAUCGGUAGCUGGUCUGAGAGGACGAUCAGCCACACUGGGAUUGAGAACGGCCCAGACUCCUACGGGGGGCAGCAGUGAGGAAUUUUCGUCAAUGGGGGAAACCCUGAACGAGCAACGCCGCGUGCAGGAUGAAGGUUUUCGGAUCGUAAACUGCUUUUCUGUGGGACGAGCAAGGACGGUACCGCAGGAAGAAGCCCCGGCUAACUACGCGCCAGCAGCCGCGGU